UUUAACGGCCGCGGUACUCUGACCGUGCGAAGGUAGCAUAAUCACUUGUUCUUUAAAUGGGGACUCGUAUCAAUGGCAUCACGAGGGCCAUACUGUCUCCUUUUUCUAAUCAGUGAAACUGAUCUUCCCGUGAAGAAGCGGGAAUUAACUUAUAAGACGAGAAGACCCCAUGGAGCUUUAAACCCAACAGCAACUCUAAAUAACCGCACCACAAAAAUUAAUGAGACUUUGAAAUUUGUUGGUUUUAGGUUGGGGUGACCGCGGAGCAUAAACUAACCUCCACGACGAACGGGACCAAACCCUUAUCCAAGAACCACCGCUCUAAGAAUCAGCACACUGACUUCUAAUGAUCCGACCAUUCGAUCAACGGACCAAGUUACCCUGGGGAUAACAGCGCUAUCCAUUUCGAGAGCUCCUAUCGACAAGUGGGUUUACGACCUCGAUGUUGGAUCAGGGUAUCCUAGUGGUGCAGCCGCUACUAAAGGUUUGUUUGUUCAACAAUUAAAACCCUAC
rnacentral:rRNA from 1 species